rnacentral:lncRNA from 1 species
GGGAGGUGCUCUGCGACCGCCCACGCCCCGGCCCGCGGCGCGUCCCGGACGUCCACGCUUGCGUUUCUGCGGAUCGUGGGAAUCCUUCUGCGUGGGUCUGUCUCACACCUUAACUUGAAGUUAGUGAGAUCCGCGGUAUGCGGGUUCCACCGCUGGGGUAGGAUAAGGGCUCGGAAAAAGUACUUGUUUCUGGAGUUUUAGAAAUGCUAACCGAGCUCAGGUUUUGAACAUGUCUGGGACUGUGAAUUGGCUGCCAGAAUGAAGUGAGUAACUGCUAUCUAAAGACUGUUAAAAUCUGAUGGGAUAAACAGGUUACAUGAACAGUUUAGGCUAAUCCCUACGGGUAUGCUGCUGCCAAGUUGGUUCUUUUACUGUGCUCAUCAGAAGUGCCAGAAAAAUACCCGCACCCGCCCCCCAUUUAGCCUCUGGAAGAAGAUGUUCUAAAGGGCUCACAAACAUCCAGAUGUAGCUCUUACCAAGCUCCAGCGUCAGAAGGAGUGCCUCAGCGUCUAAGUCCGUAUAUACACACACGGCUUUUCAUGCAUCCUCUGCUGGGGAGGUCACAAUCUGAGGCACCCUUUAAAGCCACUUCUGGGAGAAAAGAAAGAGAAAAAAAAAAAUCAACCACUGAACGUCUAGUGAGCUGUUUCCUAAGGAGGCAUCAACAAACUCCUACCAGCCCCAGUCCUCAGUAACGUCAUGAGAUGGGCUGCUUGUGGUUGUCAAAACUGAUCUUCCCACUGCGGGUGAACACGUACGGCGGAUUGUUAUGGCUUAGGGCGCUUGACUGCACCGCUGUGAAAAUAUUCAGCAGAAUUCCACAAGCUCUUUGUUUGCCUUGCCUUAGUGGAAAUUCCUCCAGCUAUCCAAACACGCACCUGGGGGAGGUGUUUUUUUUUUCCCCCUCCACAUUUCAGGAAGGGGUUUCUUCUAAGUAAAAAUGUGUCCUUACCUCUCUUCUAAGUUCUCAGGCAAGACUUCUGGUUUGAGUUGAAGAUGACUAUGAAUGUGUUCUGGUUGGAAAGGGAGGUGGAGUUGGAGGAGCCGGAGAGGUCUGUAGCAAAUGUUCCUCCAACAGAGCUAAGCUGGGAAAAGGAAAGCCAAUGGAAGCCAACAAAGAAGGAAGCACGAAGCAAGGCUCCCCCAGAUUCCUAGAAGCCCAGGAACACAAAAGCCAGGAAGAUGAAUCGUCUUUUACAGUAGUAGACCUGUAUAUAGGAACGGGGAAGAUUCUAGGGUGAAAGAUCCGGGCUGCCGCUGGUCACCCAGAAGGGAGUAUGUACCUUGAGUUUCGUAACACGGAAUGGAAGUUUGGAGGCCCCUUGAAAAGAACCAAAGCACAAAGGAAGUUGGGCCUGAAGAAGGCUGGGAGACCUCUCACGCAGAGACCCAGGGCUCAGGACAGAGAAAGGAAGGUAGAACGCCAAGUGGAUCUCAUAUUUGCUCUGCGGGCUUCUGGGAAGUGUUUGAAAACAUUCUAUUUAAACUGUGCCUCUUAAGAGAGCUCUCCACUUACAUCUAACUCAGUGUGCUCAUAUUAGCAAAUAGAAAUUAUGGGAACAUUCCAAGUGCUCCCCGCCUUCCUGGUCCUCCCUCCCUGACCCCGAUAGUCUGUCCUGCCUGGAGUCUGGGCGAAUGUUUGUUUCUGAGGGAUGGAAACUGAUUAAAAACUAGAAGGCUGCUUGGGAAAAAUUUUAUAAUAGCAUGUGUGAGGUGAGUUCCACAGAAGGCUAGGGAGGGCAGGAAGGCCCCGUGCAGCCAGGGCUCCAUGCAGGCCAUCUGAAAAAAGAGGCUCCUCUUCCAACCCAGAGCUGUUGUCUUAAUUGUGGUGGAACUGCUUUUCAUAUUCCCUUAGCUUUUUAACACUAAACCAAGAUGAGAAAUUGAGAAAUGAA